rnacentral:rRNA from 1 species
CGGGGUGCAGCAGGCGCGAAAACUUUACAAUGCAGGCAACAGCGAUAAGGGGACAUCGAGUGCCAGGCUACAAAUGUGUCUGUCCAGAUGCCUAAAAAGCAUUGCAUAGCAAGGGCCGGGCAAGACCGGUGCCAGCCGCCGCGGUAACACCGGCGGCUCGAGUGGUAACCGAUAUUAUUGGGUCUAAAGGGUCUGUAGCCGGCCGGAUAAGUCUCUUGGGAAAUCUGGCAGCUUAACUGUCAGGCUUUCAGGAGAUACUGUCAUGGCUUGAGGCCGGGAGAGGUGAGAGGUACUUCAGGGGUAGGGGUGAAAUCUUGUAAUCCUUGAAGGACCACCAGUGGCGAAGGCGUCUCACCAGAACGGACCUGACGGCAAGGGACGAAAGCUAGGGGCACGAACCGGAUUAGAUACCCGGGUAGUCCUAGCCGUAAACGAUACUCGCUAGGUGUCGGCCCAGUUGCGACCGUUGUCGGUGCCGUAGGGAAGCCGUGAAGCGAGCCACCUGGGAAGUACGGCCGCAAGGCUGAAACUUAAAGGAAU